rnacentral:rRNA from 1 species
UACGUAGGGUGCGAGCGUUAAUCGGAAUUACUGGGCGUAAAGCGUGCGCAGGCGGUUCGUUGUGUCGGCGGUGAAAGCCCCGGGCUCAACCUGGGAAUGGCCGUUGAAACUGGCGAACUGGAGUGUGGCAGAGGGGGGUGGAAUUCCGCGCGUAGCAGUGAAAUGCGUAGAGAUGCGGAGGAACACCGAUGGCGAAGGCAGCCCCCUGGGCUGACACUGACGCUCAGGCACGAAAGCGUGGGGAGCAAACAGG